rnacentral:rRNA from 1 species
CUUGAGCAACCCAUAAGAGGUCUAGCCUGCCCAGUGACUCUGUUCAACGGCCGCGGUAUCCUAACCGUGCGAAGGUAGCGUAAUCACUUGUUCUUUAAAUGAGGACUUGUAUGAAUGGCAUCACGAGGGUUAUACUGUCUCCUUUCUCUAAUCAGUGAAACUAAUCUCCCCGUGAAGAAGCGGGGAUAACUACAUAAGACGAGAAGACCCUAUGGAGCUUUAAACUAAAUGGCAACUGCAUUAACACAUUAAAAUUUAAGAAGAUUAACUUUUACCCAAGCACUAUGAUCAUAAGUUUUAGGUUGGGGCGACCACGGAGUAAAAACUAACCUCCGUAAUGAACAGGGAACUUCCCUAAACCAAGGGCCACAACCCGAAGAAUCAUUAUACUGACACCAAUUGACCCAAAAAUUUGACCAAUGAAC